rnacentral:sRNA from 1 species
CCGAGUUAUCAACUCCCAAACCCCUGUGAACAUACCCAACGUUGCUUCGGCGGGACCGCCCCGGCGCCUCGGCGUCCCGGAACCAGGCGCCCCGCCCGGAGGACCCAAACUCUUGUUUAACCAUAGUGGCAUAUUCUGAGUCUCACAAGAAAAAUGAAU